rnacentral:rRNA from 1 species
GACGUAGGGCGCGAGCGUUGUCCGAAUUUAUUGGGCGUAAAGAGCUCGUAGGCGGCUUGUCGCGUCGAAUGUGAAAACUCGGGGGCUCAACUCCGAGCUUGCAUUCGAUACGGGCAGGCUAGAGUUUGGUAGGGGAGACUGGAAUUCCUGGUGUAGCGGUGAAAUGCGCAGAUAUCAGGAGGAACACCGGUGGCGAAGGCGGGUCUCUGGGCAGUAACUGACGCUGAGGAGCGAAAGCGUGGGGGAGCGAAACAGG